CACUGCCUCUGUGUUUUGGAGGUGACACAGUCCAGGGAAGGAAGGAGCAGCCAUUUCCACACAGCCUCACACCUCCUGCACUCACCACAGGCAGCAGGAAACAAAGACGCUGAGAAAUCAGAAGUGAUCCUGGGAACAGCUUUGGAAUUUGCUGCAGUUGCAGACCAGGGAGGAGUGCUCAGCAUCUGACCAUACGGGCUCAGCCAAGAAAGAACAAUCAAGUGCUAUUUUCAAGGGUGACUGACUGCAAGCCCUUGGAAUGAGCAUCUCUAGGAGACCUCAUCUGACAUCUUUUAAAGAGCCAGCAAAAAUCCCAGCGGAG
rnacentral:lncRNA from 1 species